UUGAAGAGUUUGAUCAUGGCUCAGAUUGAACGCUGGCGGCAGGCCUAACACAUGCAAGUCGAGCGGUAACACAGAGAGCUUGCUCUCGGGUGACGAGCGGCGGACGGGUGAGUAAUGUCUGGGAAACUGCCUGAUGGAGGGGGAUAACUACUGGAAACGGUAGCUAAUACCGCAUAACGUCGCAAGACCAAAGUGGGGGACCUUCGGGCCUCAUGCCAUCAGAUGUGCCCAGAUGGGAUUAGCUAGUAGGUGGGGUAACGGCUCACCUAGGCGACGAUCCCUAGCUGGUCUGAGAGGAUGACCAGCCACACUGGAACUGAGACACGGUCCAGACUCCUACGGGAGGCAGCAGUGGGGAAUAUUGCACAAUGGGCGCAAGCCUGAUGCAGCCAUGCCGCGUGUGUGAAGAAGGCCUUCGGGUUGUAAAGCACUUUCAGCGGGGAGGAAGGCGGUGAGGUUAAUAACCUCACCGAUUGACGUUACCCGCAGAAGAAGCACCGGCUAACUCCGUGCCAGCAGCCGCGGUAAUACGGAGGGUGCAAGCGUUAAUCGGAAUUACUGGGCGUAAAGCGCACGCAGGCGGUCUGUCAAGUCGGAUGUGAAAUCCCCGGGCUCAACCUGGGAACUGCAUUCGAAACUGGCAGGCUAGAGUCUUGUAGAGGGGGGUAGAAUUCCAGGUGUAGCGGUGAAAUGCGUAGAGAUCUGGAGGAAUACCGGUGGCGAAGGCGGCCCCCUGGACAAAGACUGACGCUCAGGUGCGAAAGCGUGGGGAGCAAACAGGAUUAGAUACCCUGGUAGUCCACGCCGUAAACGAUGUCGAUUUGGAGGUUGUGCCCUUGAGGCGUGGCUUCCGGAGCUAACGCGUUAAAUCGACCGCCUGGGGAGUACGGCCGCAAGGUUAAAACUCAAAUGAAUUGACGGGGGCCCGCACAAGCGGUGGAGCAUGUGGUUUAAUUCGAUGCAACGCGAAGAACCUUACCUGGUCUUGACAUCCACAGAACUUUCCAGAGAUGGAUUGGUGCCUUCGGGAACUGUGAGACAGGUGCUGCAUGGCUGUCGUCAGCUCGUGUUGUGAAAUGUUGGGUUAAGUCCCGCAACGAGCGCAACCCUUAUCCUUUGUUGCCAGCGGUCCGGCCGGGAACUCAAAGGAGACUGCCAGUGAUAAACUGGAGGAAGGUGGGGAUGACGUCAAGUCAUCAUGGCCCUUACGACCAGGGCUACACACGUGCUACAAUGGCAUAUACAAAGAGAAGCGACCUCGCGAGAGCAAGCGGACCUCAUAAAGUAUGUCGUAGUCCGGAUUGGAGUCUGCAACUCGACUCCAUGAAGUCGGAAUCGCUAGUAAUCGUAGAUCAGAAUGCUACGGUGAAUACGUUCCCGGGCCUUGUACACACCGCCCGUCACACCAUGGGAGUGGGUUGCAAAAGAAGUAGGUAGCUUAACCUUCGGGAGGGCGCUUACCACUUUGUGAUUCAUGACUGGGGUGAAGUCGUAACAAGGUAACCGUAGGGGAACCUGCGGUUGGAUCACCUCCUU
rnacentral:rRNA from 1 species